UCAGACGAUGCGUCAUGCAUAUCAAUAAGCGAAGGAAAAGAAACUAACAAGGAUUCCCUUAGUAACGGCGAGUGAAGCGGGAAGAGCUCAAAUUUGAAAUCUUCAAGGCUUUACCUUGACGAAUUGUAGUUUAAAGAAGUGUUUUCUGUUGAAGUUUUGGUAAAAGUUCUUUGGAAUAGGACAUCAUAGAGGGUGAGAAUCCCGUAUUUGACCAUUAUUUUCAGCUGUGUGAUACACUUUCAAAGAGUCGGAUUGUUUGGGAAUGCAGUCCAAAAUGGGUGGUAAAUUUCAUCUAAAGCUAAAUAUUGGCGAGAGACCGAUAGCGAACAAGUACCGUGAGGGAAAGAUGAAAAGAACUUUGAAAAGAGAGUUAAACAGUACGUGAAAUUGUCAAAAGGGAAGCGUUUGACACCAGUGUUGUUUUCUCGGAAGGAAAAUCAAUUAAAAAGAGUUGGAUUUUGUGUUGUAUUGACCUUAUCAGCUUUCUGCACUCUUUUCCUGUCUUUUUUAAUGCACUUUUCGUUUAACAAGUCAACAUCAAUUUCUUUUGUUAUAAAAGGGUCAUUGGAAGGUGGCUUUCUCUUCGGAGAAAGUGUUUAUAGCCUUUGAUCUCUGCAAUCGGAGAGACUGAGGUCUGCAGCGUAGAUCCUUCGGGGUUAGAUACAUUUGUGCUAAGCUACUAGCUUUCAUAGACAACUUGUUGACUAUGAUUUAGUCAUUGUAGCUUACCUCGCUUAUGCUAUUUUACCUACGCUUAGGAUGUUGAUAUGCAUGACUGAUAU
rnacentral:rRNA from 1 species